GGAAAAUAAAUGGGAAUGGUGGUGUUGGGGGCACUGUUGAAUGCCAUACCUGAAGAGUAGGCCUCUACACUUUGAAUCCAGCUUGAGGGACAAGGGACAGGACGUCCUCUUCUUAAAUACCAUGUUUCUAUAAAUUGAGAAAGAUUCUUUUAAAUACUGGUGACAGAGACUAAAAUUAACCCAGGUUAAGCUUUAAAAAGACAAUUUAUUAGCUCAUAUAAUUGAAAUAUGUAAGGGGUUAGAUUUCAGGCAUGGCAUGAUCCAGGUGCUUAAAUGAUUAGCAGGAUGCUGGCUUUUUCUCUGCCACACAUCUAUGAUUUAUUUUCAAGUAGGAUUCUGUACAUAGAGGGGAAGGUGGCCCUUGGCAUUUAAUUUCAACUUAAUACAUGCGUUCUUAGAAAAAAGAGAGACUUCUUUGUCAAUGUCCACAUCAGUCUCUAAAAAUUGAUCCUGAUGUCAGGUGUCCACUCCUGUUCCAGUUCCUGUUCCCUGAGGGAGAACAUUCUCUGACUCACCUGACUACAUUGUCAUCACUCUUGGAGGGGAGGCAGGGUGCCUUGAUUUGCAGCCCUACCGAAAUGCCACAGAGUGAGGAACUGGGAGUUACCCAUCAGACAAAAAAGUUACCAAUGUACCCUGACUUUCUUGUUCUUCUACUGUCAUUCCUUUCAUUGGUAUGGUCUCAGAAGUCCUCCCUGGAAGGACAUAGUACCUAAGAAUAUUCUAAGUCAUGACUGCCCACACUGUCAUUCCUUUUAUCAGUGUGGUCUUCAGAAGUCCUUCCUGGAAAGGUAUAGUCCCUAAGAAUAUUCUAAGUCAUAACUGGCUAGAUCUCUCCUAUUAGUUAGCAGUCAGCAGAGAUCAAAGGCUGUCUAGAGUGAGGCAGACUGGGAGAAGCAGGGCUGAUGUGUGUGACAGUUCCUGGCCUGUGCCUCACUCAGUGCUCCAGGGGCUCUGUGUCUGGUAACCUAGGCCCUGCCCCUCAUGGAUUUAAGUCCCAGUUCUACCACUUAGCAAUAAGACUGGUGGUUUAAAUUUUUAAAAAGUGUUUUUUAAGUUUAUUUAUUUAUUUUGAGAGCAAGAAAUAGCAAGUGGGGGAGGGGCAUAGAGAAAGAAUCCCAAGCAGGCUCCCUACUGUCAGCUCAGAGCCUGAUGUGGGGCUUGAACCUAUGAACCAUGAGAUCAUGAUCUGAGCUGAAAUCAAGAGUUGGAUGCUUAACUGACUGAGUCACCUACCCCUAAAUUUUUUUUUAUUUUUUAUUUUUUUAUUUUAGAGACAGUGUGAGUAGGGGAGGGGCAGAGAAAGACAGGGGGAGACACAGAACCUGAAGCAGGCUGCAGGCUCUGAGCUCUCAGCCCAGCGCCCCGUCAUGGGGCUCAAACUUACAGACCACAAGAUCAUGACCUGAGCUGGAGUUGGAUGCUUAACAGACAGCCACCCAGGCGCCCCUAAAUUCUUUUUAAACUAACACUAAAAUCAAGAGAUUUUAUGUAAAAGUCUGAAUUUCUGUUUUGUCUUGAAACUUGGCAACUCUCGCAUAAUUGGCCCCACUUUCUCUCACUGCACAGUGGAUGGUUGCAGCCGCCUCCAGGCGGCCAUGUUCUCCGAUUUGCCACAGUCCCCACCAUCCCACUGCAUUCCACCACCUGCCUGGCCCUGCUCCACUCUGGAGUUCUCACAGACCCUUCCAGUACCCAGCUGUCUAGUUCCUCAUGACGUCACAACACCAGUGACCACCAGCUCACUCCCAGAAUCCACCUGGACCUUGCCCAGCCCCAGGAUGGCUGUCUCUUAAACCAGAGCGCCUAUCCCAGUCUGAUUCAGUCCCUGCCUGCAUGUUUGGUCUCUCUGUGCCCUCCAGACCCCUCAGCCCUCUCCUUUUUCCUGGUGACCUAGUCCACAUUUUUCUUGACAUGGUUAGUCAGCACUGCGGUAGCCUCCUCACCGCCCUACUUACUUCAGGUGCUGUUCCCUGCAGUCCAUUCUCAAUACCACUGAUUUGCAAGAUGCCUAUUUUAUUGAAUGUUCUGUCAGUAUGGUGUCACUGGGGCAUGUACCCCUAUACAGACACACACACACACACACACACACACACACACACACACCUCACACUUAUAUAUUUAUAUAUACAUCCAUAUAUAUCAACCCCCUAAACAUACACACAUUGGUUUAGAGUGUACACACACAGGUUUAUAGAUUAUAUAGGGAGAGGCAGUAUAACAGUGAGCUGAAUUGCUUGAGAGUCCAGACUCUGGAGCUAGUCUAACUGGGUUUGAGUCCGACUUUUGUCACUUACACAAGUUGCUCUUUGUUCCCCUGUUUUCUCUUCUGUAUAUUAGAACUGAGCCCAGAAGUUUGUUAUGAGGUCUGUGAAGUGGAAGUUACAGGGCCUGGCACUAGGCAGUGAAGGUUAACUGCUGUUAACUCCUGUUGUCAUUGAUAUUCUGUCAGUGCAACAAUUUAAGAGGAUAAAAUUAGGCAGAAAUACCCAUUCUACAGUUUUUUUCAUGUGUUUGUUGGAUCCAUAUGAAGGUCAUGGCCUAACUGCCAUCUCAGGGGGAACUCCAUGAUGCAGAUCUGAAUUUUAUUUUUAUUAUUUUUAUUUUCUUAAGUUUAUUUUUUAAGAGAGCAAGCAGGGGAGGGACAAAGAGACCUGCAUGUUUGCAGA